rnacentral:lncRNA from 1 species
AUCCGAUAAGGGGAAUAGGAUCUACUUAUUUUUGAACUUGUCUCCAAGGGUUCUUGUCAGAUAAAAAAGGAACGUUGAAACCCUUCCAUUAGGGGUUGAGAGGGAGAGGAGGAGGAAACAAGGGGUAAAACAAGGGUGUUUUGUUUCUUCCUUCCCAGACUGUUUACUAGGAAACUCUGAAGCCCCUUUUCACAUUCUGCCUGGUAUUAAAUUGACACGACACUGGCAUAGAGGGGAAGGAGACCUGGUUAGAGGGCAUUGUGGGUCUGAUGAUGGACCACAUUCAGGUGUGAUACUGAAAGAGCAGCCUGAGGUUAUUCCAUGGGGAAUCAGGAGGUCUCCUGUAGCCUAGAAGAGCCCCGCGGUUGAGGCAAAGAAGAGGCAGUGGGGGACCUAGAGUUGAUGGGGUGCUCUAGAAAAGCAGCCAGAUUUUAUCAGAUACCUGGACAGUAGACAUAGGGUAUCAUGUGAAAUGAGGGAGACCGGAAAAGCACAAACAGGAGUAUAUCAAGCACCCCAUGUGCUGCUGCCACAAUGAUAAGUAAGGUCCCUAAGAUUUGGAUCAGGUAGAAAAAGGAGGACCUAAACAAGGGAAACCUGAGAUUACUCCCCUAAAGGUUAAUCUGAAAGACUCUAGGUUAUUCUUAAAGACUUAAAUACCUUAAAUGGACAAAUGAAUGUUUUUGUUUUGUUUUGUUUUGCUGCUGUGUAAGAACAGUGGAUCAACACAGAAUGACAUUAGUUCUAAAAAAAAUUAACUUUUUUUGGCAUAUUUGAGCAGGAGGGUACAAACUUUGACCCUUAUCACUCAAGGUUAAUCUUUUAAUUUGUGGUCUUAAAUCCGCUUUCUCCAUCUGCUCCAGGACUGUAUGCUUACUCUCUGUCUUCUUACCCAUAAACUCUAAGUACUUCUUAGUGACCUUAAGAUUAGUCAUCUUUGACUUCAUACUUGCCAAACCUAAUGUUUUCUCUAUGGCCCUUUUCUGUCUGGUUUCUGUGCUGAUCCUGGGACUCUCUGCCCUCAGAUUCCUUCUCCUUCAUGCCCUGGUCUGUGUUGUAAGCAGAGGUCCGAGCCCGGUAGGCUGUUUCCUGGUCUCCCACAUGACUCGCUUCUGGCUGGGUUGAGACAGGGGCAGUGAUGGCCGAACACUGAAAGGGCAUCUUUGUGUAACUCCAAGAUCUGAAUCAUCCCUGGGUCAGCUUUGAUUGCUAUUGUUGUUUUAUUCUCUUGAUUUUCAGACACCUUUUUUUGUUUUUUCAAAGGUCUGUACAUGUUGAUUAUUGCAUUAUGUUCCAAUGGACUUUUCAAUAUCUUCCUUAUCCCAAACUGAAACUUAUAUACGUUUUUAAAUGAUUGCACAGUAUUUCACUUGUAGAAAACAGACGUUGAAGGUUAACUGGCUAAAUGAAUAGGUAGAAGUAUGGGGUGAAGUGAUGAUCGGAAGCAACUUUUUGCCAAGAUUCUGAUAUCCUGCCGAGAAUCACUCUCUCCAGUGUUACUCAUGCAAGAGUGUCUUUUCCCAAGGUGGAUGCAUGCAGAAAAAGGUGAGAAGCAGUGCUCUGUGGAAAAGACAGCUUCCUGUACAGAUCUGCUUCUUGACUCAUUGGAAAGAAAUAGAAGUGGGCUGAAAAUUAAAUAGAAGCCCAGAUAGUACAAAUGUGGAGACAGUGCUUCUCCAAAGUAUCCACCAGGGCAGAGGAAGGUAAAGAUAUGCUUCUGGAACCGUGGUGUGGGCCAGGAAGCCAGUCUGCCCUAAAGGGAGAGUUAAGUUGGAAGUAGGUUCUACUCUACUUGUGUGUUCAUUUUACUUUGAAUCAAGUUGACUUUCUCAAUGCAGGGCAGGAGUUUUACUUGGCGACUUUGUGUAUUUACAGCCACAUUGUUCCCCAGUAGCUCCUCCCUAUUCCUCCUGCUUCUUCUUUGAAAAGCACAACUCUAGGGUGCAGAGAGAUAACUCCCAGGCAGCAGGUCUCCUUCCCAGAGAAAGUUUUGUUAGAGAAAGAGGGGUGGAGGCCGUCAGAUGCUUGUCAUGGGGAUGAGAGGGGGCCAUCAGAUGCUUGGCAUGGCAUUGAAAGGUUAGGGCGGCUUCCCUUUGGACUUUUUUCUUAGCCUCGUCCCGGUGCCUCAGGAUUUAGGGUAAGACUGGUUUUGACCCACGUGAGCAACAGCAUUUCCCUUCCAUGUUCUAAAUGAGUCCAUCGUCCUCUUGUGAAACUGCCCAUAAGAGAAAAUCCCAUCUUGCCGGAUCACUUGUGUGUCCGGCUGCAAACUGCAAAUCUAGUUGCGUCUUCCCCAUCUGCUGAAACAUUGUUACCAGGGUCCCAGAAGACAACGGAGAGUCAUAUAUAUGUUCAUUUUAUGGAGGCGGACAUUCCUUGCUGUGCACUUCAGCUUUGCUCUUCCCAGACAGCUGUAAUCUCACUCAGGAGGGAAGUGUUGCGAUGGUGGGAAUAGAAGCUUUGAAUACACUGUAAAUCUGAUAUGCAAAUGUGAUCACAGUUGCGUUAUUUGCUAAAGUUCAUUCUGAGGUACUCUGGGAUGGGAUUAAUUUUAAGGGCAAUACAGCAUGUAGUCUACUGAAUUUAGAGGGCCUCAGGUAUAAUUGAACCUGCCUGUUUUCUUUUUACCAAGGGAAUUUUUCAUAUAAAAUGGAAGCAUAACCGUUAGAGUAGAACACUGCAAUGUCUUAUUUUUACUGGGGUUUAGACUAUACCUGGAGAUGAGCUAUAGGAUAAAUGGGCCUAUUGAAGCAUAGGUCAAGCUAAUAAAAUAAAAAUAUGUUAAAUUUUGUCUAUUUAUAUACUCUUUUGUGCAUCGCAAGAGUGCCUUGUACUUUUUGGAGAAAAGCUUCUUUUAUCUAUAUCUACCUACCUACCUGUCUUUUCAAACUCUUUCAGAUUUUUCCCAGCUGUAAUUUAUCAUUUCCUUAUCAAAAUUUAUGUUCCGUAAAUCUGCAACAAUCAUUUGGCAAUUGGUCUUAUAAUAUGCUGUUUUAAAAUUGAUGUUUAGAUUAUGUAUUAUUGCACAACGUGUAUCUUUUUUUCCUAACUGGAUUAUAAGCCUUCAGAGAACGGGGACUCUGAUUUCCUUUUUGUAUUACCCAAAAGUCCUAAUGUAGUUCUCAAUGAAUAUUUUAUUGAGUUUCCGUUAUAGGUGCACCUUGUUUUAUUGUGCUUUGCUUUAUUGCACUUCACAGAUAUUGCAUUUUUAAAAAUCGAAGGUUUUUGCCAUCCUUGCAUCGAGUAAGCCUAUCAGGGCUCUUUUUUCAAAGCGUUUUCUCAUUCCACGUCCCCGUGUCACAUUUUGGUAAUUCUUGCAAUAUUUCAGAUGCUUCACCAGUAACAAGAUUAUAGCUUUCCGAAGGCUCAGCUGGUGUUGAUCAUUUCUUAGCAGUAAAGUGUUUUUUAAAUUAAGGUAUGUACAUUUUUUUUUUAGACACGAGGCUAUUGCACAAUUGAUGGACUGCAGUGCAGUGUAACAUGCUUUUAUAUGCACUGGGAGACCAAAACAUGGAUGACUUAUUUUCCUGUGAUAUUUGCUUUAUUGUGCUGGUCUGGAAGUGCACCCGCAACAUCUAAGAGGUUUGUCUGUAUAUUGGCACAUUUGUUAAACCCGUAAAAUAAAACCGAGCCUCAAAAUAUUUUGCAAUUACUCAGGAGCCAGGUGUAUGAAGUCACAUUAUUUUUCUCUUCAUGGAAAACUACCCAUGCCAAUUUAUUUCAUGAAUAUUGCUGAGAGUUUAGCUUUUAAGCAAUGUUAUGUAUGGUCAUUUUUUUUUUCAGUUCAUGAAAUUAUUUUAUUUUUACUCUGGGUGCACAAGAAGACAUAUUUUCCAUUAUCCCCUUGACUCUAGGGACUCUGUCACUAAGCUCCUCCAAUGGAAAGUGAGUGGGAACGAGAGAUGCCAGUUCCAGGCCUAAAUGUAAAAGUCCCCGUGCAAAUCUUCCUCCAUUUUUCUUCCUAACCACACAGUAGAAAGGAAGGCUUUUGAGACGGUGGAAACCAGAGUGGAAACAGUUCGCAUCCUGAGUUACCACUUAGAGGAGCUACUCAGGAGAUCUCCCGGACAGACGCUUUAGCUCUGGGUUUUAUAAGAGCAAGAAUAUUGUGUUGUUAUGUAAAGCUCUUGAGACAUGAGGGUUGGCUGUCACAAGUUAAUGCUGAAUAAUACAUGUAGGGAUUGAAGGGUGAAGAGCAAGAAUUAGAGGAAAGCAAAUGAGAGGAGGGCGGCGGGGAGAUUGGGAUCAAAUAAUGCAGUCUUCAGUUGGGCUCCAUGGAGGCAUGCUCAGAAAUAAGCCAUCGCUGGAGUUCCUGUGCGGCUCAGCAGGUUACCAGCCUGACUAGUAUUCAUGAUUUCGGGUUCAAUCCUUGGCCUUGCUUAGUGGGUUGAGGAUCCAGCGUCGCUGUGAGCCGUGGUGUGGCUCACAGACGUGGCUCCUAUCCCGCUAUUGCUGUGGCUGUGGUGUAGGCCUGAGCUGCAGCUCUGAUUCGACCCCUGACCCAGCGAACGGUCGUAUACCGCAGGUACAGCCUUAAAAAGAAAAAAGAAGACGUUGCUGGAAGUGUUAAUGGUUGUGGGGACUUGAACUUCAAUGGGGGCCAAAUAUUUAGUUUAAAUGUUUUUAGACAGCAACACAUGAUACAUAUAAGAGAAUAUAUAGUAACAUUUAAUUGUUGAAGUAUAAUAAGAGAAUGAGCACUUGUGGACCCAUCACCAAGCCUAAGAAUCAAAACAUUAUCACUAUUGUUGAAGCUGCCACUGUUAUGGAUAAAUUU